rnacentral:rRNA from 1 species
GACGAACGCUGGCGGCGUGCUUGACACAUGCAAGUCGAACGGAAAGGCCCUGCUUUUGUGGGGUGCUCGAGUGGCGAACGGGUGAGUAACACGUGAGUAACCUGCCCUUGACUUUGGGAUAACUUCAGGAAACUGGGGCUAAUACCGGAUAGGAGCUCCUGCUGCAUGGUGGGGGUUGGAAAGUUUCGGCGGUUGGGGAUGGACUCGCGGCUUAUCAGCUUGUUGGUGGGGUAGUGGCUUACCAAGGCUUUGACGGGUAGCCGGCCUGGGAGGGUGACCGGCCACAUUGGGACUGAGAUACGGCCCAGACUCCUACGGGAGGCAGCAGUGGGGAAUAUUGCACAAUGGGCGGAAGCCUGAUGCAGCAACGCCGCGUGCGGGAUGACGGCCUUCGGGUUGUAAACCGCUUUCGCCUGUGACGCAGCGUGAGUGACGGUAAUGGGUAAAGAAGCACCGGCUAACUACGUG